rnacentral:rRNA from 1 species
UACGUAGGGGGCUAGCGUUGUCCGGAUUUAUUGGGCGUAAAGAGCGUGUAGGCGGCCAUGUAGGUCCGGUGUGAAAACUCGAGGCUUAACCUCGAGAUGUCAUCGGAAACCAUUUGGCUAGAGUCCGGAAGAGGAGAGUGGAAUUCUUGGUGUAGCGGUGAAAUGCGCAGAUAUCAGGAAGAACACCAAUGGCGAAGGCAGCUCGCUGGAACGGUACUGACGCUGUGGCGCGAAAGCGUGGGGAGCAAACAGG